GCCUAAGUAAACCUCUCCUAAAAACUAAUACGCUACUUUAGAGUAAUUCAAGUGGGGUACAGCUCAUUUGAAAAAGGACACAACCUAUAACAACGGGUAACCUUCAAGCCCAAAACCAAGUAGGCCUAAGAGCAGCCACCUUGAAAAAGCGUCAAAGCUUAAUUUUGCGCCACCUGAUACCACAACUAACACAGAACCCUUCACCAAUAUUGAGUACUUCUAUACCUUUAUAGAAUUUUUUAUGUUAAAACUAGUAACAAGAAGACACUUCUCUUAUAAUACAAGUGUAAGUUAGCAACGGAUCUCCCACUGAUCCUUACACAGUUCAACAAACAGCCCCCUCCCUCCCCUCGAAAACCCUGUUUUCCCCCCCCCCUGUUAACCUAACACAAGUGUAUUCCAAGAAAGAUUGAACAAAAAAGAAGGAACUCGGCAAAUACUGAUCUCGCCUGUUUACCAAAAACAUCGCCUCUUGUUAAAAUAAGAGGUCCAGCCUGCCCAGUGACCCCCCUCAGUUUAACGGCCGCGGUAUCCUGACCGUGCAAAGGUAGCGCAACCACUUGUCUUUUAAAUAAAGACUUGUAUGAAAGGCAUCACGAGGAUCAAACUGUCUCCUUUUUUUAAUCCGUGAAACUAAUCUUCCCGUGAAGAAGCGGGAAUCCCACUAUAAGACGAGAAGACCCUGUGGAGCUUAAGGUUAAACAGUUACCGCUUCCCCCCCCCCC
rnacentral:rRNA from 1 species